UUAGCUUCCAUGGGACAAACCAAAAAGGGGCGUGGCUUAUCGCCAAACCGUUUUCAACAGAACGGUGUGACUGUAAACAACAACAACAACAACAACGGACAGAUGUCAUUUAAACAGAUCUGGAGCCUGUAACCAACCAUCUUGUUAGCUCUAUUGAAGCAGUUGGAGGAUGGAGUGCCUUGGUCAAGAGUGCAUCAGCAAAGUUUGGUAUCGACUCUUCGGCACUUUGAUGUCUUUGGAAAAGCCCUGGGAGGAAAGAACAGAUUACUGACAGGACAGCAUGAAGGGAGAGAUUAAGGAGAAUCAGUGAAGCAAAGCAGUGCUCACAGACCUGUGAUGGGCUCUGCACCUCCAGUGUCCAUGCUGCCCAGAGAGGAGAUGCUGCUCAGACCUUUAGGCAGAGCAGGAGAGCCGGAGACUGCAGCAGGACUGAUCACUGCAAUGGAGAGACACCAGGGUACAAGUCAUUAUUAGAACAAAACAACAACAGUGAUACCCACUUAUGUACUUUUACUGUAAUUUUCUGCACAUAAACACAAAACCAUGUUUCAGACAGAUGAUAAUGUAUUAAUUUGAUUCUGAAUGUGUCUGCUACAUAUUUAUCCUGUGUAUUUGCAUGCAUGCAACAUAUUCAUUUCUUCUCAGCAGACCAAUAAAGUCUGAAUCAUGUUUGUUGUGGGAUGAUUUCA